rnacentral:rRNA from 1 species
GACGAACGCUGGCGGCGUGCUUAACACAUGCAAGUCGAACGGAAAGGCCUCUUUCGGGGGGUACUCGAGUGGCGAACGGGUGAGUAACACGUGAGUAACCUGCCCUUGACUUUGGGAUAACUUCAGGAAACUGGGGCUAAUACCGGAUAGGAGCUCCUGCUGCAUGGUGGGGGUUGGAAAGUUUCGGCGGUUGGGGAUGGACUCGCGGCUUAUCAGCUUGUUGGUGGGGUAGUGGCUUACCAAGGCUUUGACGGGUAGCCGGCCUGAGAGGGUGACCGGCGACAUUGGGACUGAGAUACGGCCCAGACUCCUACGGGAGGCAGCAGUGGGGAAUAUUGCACAAGGGGUGGAAGCCUGGUGCAGCAACGCCGUGGGCGGGAUGACGGCCUUCGGGUUGUAAACCGCUUUCGCUCAUGACGAAGCUUUGUGUGACGGUAGUGGGUAAAGAAGCACCGGCUAACUACGUG